AGCCUUGAGGUGAUCCACAGCAAAUUGCAAAUUUGAAGAAGCAUCGUAGUGAUGCCGGGGCUU
rnacentral:tRNA from 1 species